rnacentral:rRNA from 1 species
UACAAGUGACCCCGGUCUUACCACCGGGAUGUUCAUAACCCUUUGUUGUCCGACUCUGUUGCCUCCGGGGCGACCCUGCCUUCGGGCGGGGGCUCCGGGUGGACACUUCAAACUCUUGCGUAACUUUGCAGUCUGAGUAAACUUAAUUAAUAAAUUAAAACUUUUAACAACGGAUCUCUUGGUUCUGGCAUCGAUGAAGAACGCAGCGAAAUGCGAUAAGUAAUGUGAAUUGCAGAAUUCAGUGAAUCAUCGAAUCUUUGAACGCACAUUGCGCCCCCUGGUAUUCCGGGGGGCAUGCCUGUUCGAGCGUCAUUUCACCACUCAAGCCUCGCUUGGUAUUGGGCAACGCGGUCCGCCGCGUGCCUCAAAUCGACCGGCUGGGUCUUCUGUCCCCUAAGCGUUGUGGAAACUAUUCGCUAAAGGGUGUUCGGGAGGCUACGCCGUAAAACAACCCCAUUUCUAAGGUUGACCUCGGAUCAGGUAGGGAUACCCGCUGAACUUAAGCAUAUCAAUAAGCGGAGGAAAAUAUACUUGACAAUUACACCUCAACUCGGGUAGGACUACGCCCUGAACUUAAGCAUA